rnacentral:rRNA from 1 species
CCGGCGCACGGGUGCGUAACGCGUAUGCAACCUACCUUUUACAGAGGGAUAGCCCAGAGAAAUUUGGAUUAAUACCUCAUGGUAUAAUUGAAUCGCAUGGUUUAAUUAUUAAAGUUCCAACGGUAAAAGAUGGGCAUGCGUCCUAUUAGCUAGAUGGUAAGGUAACGGCUUACCAUGGCUACGAUAGGUAGGGGUCCUGAGAGGGAGAUCCCCCACACUGGUACUGAGACACGGACCAGACUCCUACGGGAGGCAGCAGUGAGGAAUAUUGGACAAUGGGCGCAAGCCUGAUCCAGCCAUGCCGCGUGCAGGAAGACGCAUCUAUGGUGUGUAAACUGCUUUUGUACGGGAAGAAACACUCCCUCGUGAGGGAGCUUGACGGUACCGUAAGAAUAAGGAUCGGCUAACUCCGUGCCAGCAGCCGCGGUAAUACGGAGGAUCCAAGCGUUAUCCGGAAUCAUUGGGUUUAAAGGGUCCGUAGGCGGUUUGGUAAGUCAGUGGUGAAAGCCCAUCGCUUAACGAUGGAACGGCCAUUGAUACUGCCAGACUUGAAUUACUAGGAAGUAACUAGAAUAUGUAGUGUAGCGGUGAAAUGCUUAGAUAUUACAUGGAAUACCAAUUGCGAAGGCAGGUUACUACUAGUGGAUUGACGCUGAUGGACGAAAGCGUGGGGAGCGAACAGGAUUAGAUACCCUGGUAGUCCACGCCGUAAACGAUGGAUACUAGCUGUUCGGAGUAAUCUGAGUGGCUAAGCGAAAGUGAUAAGUAUCCCACCUGGGGAGUACGUUCGCAAGAAUGAAA